AAUUCAACUAUAAUGCAACUUACAAUUCAGCCCCUAAAAAACAAAUUGAAGAUAGAUAAAGAUGAAACUGCAAAGAAGUACGAUGAAAUACAAGCAACUUGUAGAUAGAUACAAACCUUUGUCACUAUCAAAGCUUCCAUUUAAAAAAUCAUCAUUGUAAUCAAGUUGUAUAAAAAACAUUUUUGUGGAUAAAUGAGAUGAAAAACUGAACAUGUCUCCAGAGAAGUAUUGUUAACACUUUUGCUUCACAAACAAAUUUUAUAGUUGGCUUUUCAAUAAAUUUUUAUAACAACUGCAAUAUCACCUUAUCAAAACCAGAUUUGUCAUAUGACCAAUUAUUCGAUAUGGAAAAACAAAAUUGACAAUUGUUAUGUUUUCUUUAAUUUGUAAAUUAUUGUUAAUUUGUUAAAGAGAUAUAGUUUUACGUAUAUUAUUUAUUAAUAGUUAUAAAGAUAUAUAAUUUGUUGAUUUUCUUGGUACUUCCU